GUUUUAUUUGAAUGCUUUAAUACAACAUUAAAUAAGCAACAAUAACAAAUAGGAUCAAUUGAAAGACCAAUAAAUAAUUACUUCAGUUGUAUUGAUGGACAAUUUUGAUUGCAGGAAUGAUCUGAUAAGCCAGAGAAUGCAAGGAGCCUGUAUCACUCAGGAAAUUUAAACAUUUGAUAUGAGUAACAGUGAAAUAAAUUGUUUUUCCAGUGGAAACCGCAUUGCUGAAUGCAAUUAGACAUAAGAUUCAUUAAAUGAAUUCAGACAUUUUUUGGUUGAAGGCUGCUUUAUAAUUCUAUUCAUAACUCGUGAAAAUAUAUAUUUUUUAGCAGGGUUAGGUGCCUGCAAAAGAGUUACACCUCCAUCACAUACUGUAUAUGCCAGUUCCAAGCCAGCAGCCUGAUAAUCAGUGGUUGUUGAUUGUUUCUGUAUAUCAUGUUUAUUUUACAUUUAUUGUGUUGAAAAUAAAUCAGACUGUAAUUGUUUUUAAAUUUAAAUUGUUUUAUAUUUGUCUUUUCAGGACUUUUAUAGCUGACUGUGCGGUAUGAGUUUUACUCAUUGUUGAAGGACUUACACUGACAUUUGUUAAUGUCUGUGUCAUUUUGUCUCUGGUAGAGAGUUGUGUAAACAGUAAUCAUACCACAUCUGUUUAAUUUUUUAUCCUGAUUUAGAGUAAUUUCUCGCAUUUUGAUUGGCUGAUAUUGUUCUAAAAAAUUUCAGUACAAUUUUUUAUCACAUCAAUUGGUAUUAUCUCCCUUAUUUAUUAUGUCAAUUGGAAUCUCCCUUAUACCAUUGACCUAAUAAAAAAAAAACACAGUGUUCAAUUGUCCUAUAAUACGGAAUUUAUCGGGUCAAUAAAAUUCAUAUCGGGUUUGGCUUCGCCUCACCCGAUAUGAAUUUUAUUGACCCGAUAAAUUCUCAUAUUAGGACAAUAGCACACUGCGUAACUAAUAAUAUUAGUCCUAUGACCCCCCCCCCCCCUUCCAAAAAAAAAAAUAAAAUAAAAAAAAAGAUUUGCUUACUGCUGUGUUGACCAAGUAUAACUGUGAAAUAAGAUUACUUAAAAAUGAUUCCAGUGACCUCUGCAAUAUUUACUUGUCGUAGCAGAUUAUGCAGAAUAAACAACAGACGAUGGAUGUCUAGUAAUGACAAAAGUUCACAUGGUCAAUAGACCAGGUGAGGUUAAAUAAAUGAAAGACACAAUAAAUAUAAAAAUAAUAAAAUAUCUAUAACAAACUCAAUAAAAGAUAGUAGAAAGACAGUGAGAAAACAUAAUAGAAUCUUGGAAGCCAGAUCUAAUCAAAGAGCUGAUAGCUCUGAGGUGGAAGAAGGUGAAUAAAAGGUAACUUGAAUUACCAUAAAAGCAGCCCCACUAACCCAGCCUGCUUUGUUCCAUUAUCAUUAUGACGUAGAUUUUUUUCUUCAAACAAGAAUGUGUCAUCAGUACAUGGAUUUCCCAUCUGUAUAAUCAUUUUCUAUGUUCAGUGGACUGUGAAAAUUAGGUAAAAUCUUUAAUUUGGCAGUAAAAUUAGAAAGAUUAUAUCAUAAGGAACACAUGUGUACUAAGUUUCAAGUUGAUUGGAUUUCGACUUCAUCAAAAACUACCUUGACCAUAAACUUUAACCUGAAGCAGGACGGACAGACAGACCAGAAAACAUAAUGCCCAUAAAUGGGGCAUAAAAAUAGUAAGACUUGUUACAUACCCACAACUUUUGAAAGUUCCCAUGCGGGUUUUAAGUGCGCAACAACAAUUUUAAAGGUUACAAUUUUUAGCGAAGUAUUUUGCAUGAUCUGGAUUGUCUAGAAAAAGUGUCAUAUUUGUAUAAUGAACUUACAGCCCGUAACAGAGAAGUGAUCGAAUUGAUGUUUCUUUACCGUCAAAAUUAGCUACGUUAUCGACAAACUUAAUUGAGUAGUGACCGAACUAUUAGUACUUUAACGUUAAAAAGACUGACAAUGCUGACAAACUUUCAUGUAUCGAUAAUCAAGUUUAAUACCGAUAAUAUUGAAAAUAAUUCUAAUAAUAUGAAACAAAAUAUGUCCAUGCACCAUUUCGAUUGGGCAAAAAGUAGUCAUUUCUUCAAAGUCAGAACAGAAAAAAAAAGAUUUAUGGAAGGACGUUUCAGUAUAUCAUGUCAAAUUUCUUUAAUUUGAGAGUUUUCCUUUAGUUACAAAUGUAGCUCCAUGUCUGAUGGUGAAAUAAAAAUGAAUGUCUCAGAAAGUGGUGAAUUAGUUUCCAUAAAUGACAGAUGAAUCGGGCCAAGCUUAGUAACUUACACUAAACAGACUACUGUAACAUUGACGACUUGUGGAACUGUUUAAAAGAUUUGUGUUUAUUACCAAAAAUUUAUAUACAACUUCAUUUAUAAAUUAAUCUGAAUUUCAUAGCCCGUGUCGUCACAAUAAUGAAAGUUAAAAAAAAAAUCUAUAACCAGCAGAUCUAUACUUCUAUAAAGAAAGUAUUCUUGUACAAAAGGGUAUUUAUUAUAAAAUGGUCCUAACUAUAGAAUAGAUAGUUUACCACAGAAAUCUUAAACGGAAGUUUCAACAAUUUUAAACAGAAGAGAUUUGAAAAUAAAUUUAACUUUAAAUAAACACUGAAAUAAUUUUAAUACCUCGAAGGUGUAAAGAAUAAACCAACAAUCUCAAUCUUUAAAAGUGUCUUCAUUGCACUAACCGACGAGUUCAUGUUUACAGUAGAAACAGUGGAUGUGACUCCAAUAAAUUCAUUAUCAUUGUUUAUCGCUUAUAUUAAAUUGAUAAAGAUUUUAUCGAGGUCGCACCAACUGUUUCUACAGCUAAGAUCAGUUACAUGUAACAAGAUCUCGUCGAUUCGCACGACGAAGCAAUUGUUUAUGACAGAACACACA
rnacentral:lncRNA from 1 species